rnacentral:rRNA from 1 species
AGCGAACGCUGGCGGCGUGCUUAACACAUGCAAGUCGAACGUGAACGGGCUUCGGCCUUAGUAAAGUGGCGUACGGGUGAGUAACACGUAGGUAAUCUACCUUAGAGUCUGGAAUAACCUGCCGAAAGGCGGGCUAAUACUGGAUAGAGCGACGGAAUCCGUAAUUGGGUUUUUCGGGAAAGGGAGCUUGAUAAGAGCCCUCGCUUUAAGAUGAGCCUGCGUCUGAUUAGCUAGUUGGUGGGGUAAUGGCCCACCAAGGCGAUGAUCAGUAGCUGGUCUGAGAGGAUGAUCAGCCACACUGGAACUGAAACACGGUCCAGACUCCUACGGGAGGCAGCAGUGGGGAAUCUUGCGCAAUGGACGAAAGUCUGACGCAGCCACGCCGCGUGAGUGAAGAAGGCCUCGGUU